AUGAUUAUUUCAACGAACGAAGGUAAUCCAAACGCGUUAAAAUUAAUAAUAGCAGCUAAAAUGGCCCAACAGUCUGUUACCAUUAAGACGGUACAGCCUAAAGUAAGUUUCUUGGGUCGUUUACCUGCUGUUGAACUACCAUCUGGAUUAGUGUUAUUUAGCACUAGUGCAGCAAUGCAACUAUUAGUACCUCCACCUAAAGAAUCAAAUGCUCUGAAUAAUAAGUGGUUGGAAUGGGAUAUUUCUAAGUUACAGCCAGCUAUAGUGCUUUAUAGUAAUACAGGAAGUUAUAAAACAGCAAGUAAAUUAUGCUUAUGGUCUUUGUUGGAAGAACUCAACAGAGAAUUAAAGGAGAAAAAGUACUUAAAUAAGGAUCAUAAUGAUUUGUCAUUGGCAGAUACCUGUAUUUGGGUAACUGUAUGGUCUACUGUGUUAGUUACAGACAUUGGGAAAGAAUUAUGUAAAGAAUAUUUAUUUCUUAAAGAUUGGUUAGCCAAUAUUGAAUUACUGCCAAUUAUUCAGGAUUCUAUUAAGGAAUAUAAAUUUGAAAGAGGUUUGAGAGCAAUUGUCAGUAUUCAAGCUGCAUCCUGGUUUCCUGUUAUUAGUUCCCUAAAUUCACCAGCUAAUAAAGCACAACCAAGUGAUAUAAGCCCAACUAAAGAGAAAGAAUUAGAAGCAGUUAGCCAAGAAGAGAUGCAAAAUAUUGCAAGUAAUUGGUCUUCUAAGUCAUAUCCAGAUGUGAAAAAUUCUCCUUACCCUGUAUUACCAAAGAAAGGGGAAAGAAAUAUUUUAAUAACAUCUGCAUUACCUUAUGUUAACAAUGUUCCUCAUUUAGGAAAUAUUAUUGGUUGUGUACUUUCUGCUGAUAUUUUUGCCAGAUAUUGUAGACAAAGAAAUUAUAAUACCCUUUUCAUUAGUGGAACUGAUGAAUAUGGUACUGCUACAGAAGCUAAAGCUUUGGAAGAAAAGACAACACCACAAGCUAUUUGCGACAAAUUUUUCGAUAUACAUAAUGACAUUUAUAGAUGGUUUAGCAUAGGGUUUGAUUAUUUUGGUCGCACUACAACGCCUGAACAAACAGAAAUCGUGCAAUCAUUUUUCUUAAGAAUAAAAUCGCAAGGGUAUAUAUUGAGUGAAAUAGUAGAUCAACUUCUCUGCGAGUCGUGCAAUAGAUUUUUAGCAGAUAGAUUUGUAGAAGGAACGUGUCCACGGUGUAAAUACGAAGAUGCACGUGGUGAUCAAUGCGAUGGAUGCGGUCAUUUAGUGAAUGCGACAGAUUUAAUAUCUCCCCGGUGUAAAGUAUGCAGUAAUAGACCCAUUGUUAAGAAAUCGGAACAGUUCUUUUUAGAUUUACCUAAGUUAGAGAGUAAAUUAAAAGAAUGGUCCCCCACUGUGGAAAAGGGGUGGUCGACUGUUGCGAAAGUUGUCGCAAAACCAUGGUUACGCGAUGGACUUAAACCACGAUGUAUAACGCGUGAUUUGAAGUGGGGAAUACCCGUCCCUGUAAAAGGUUUUGAAAAUAAAGUGUUCUAUGUUUGGUUUGAUGCACCCUUUGGCUAUAUCAGUAUUACAAAAAGAUACACUAAGGAAUAUGAACAGUGGUGGAAACCAACAGACGUAGAAGUUGAUUUAUAUCAAUUUAUGGCAAAAGACAAUGUUCCAUUCCAUGCAAUAAUGUUCCCUGCUUGUUUAUUAGCAGCUAAUGAAGGAUAUAUAUUAUUGAAGCAUUUAAUGGCAACAGAAUACCUGAAUUACGAAGAUACAAAGUUUUCAAAAUCCAGAGGUAUCGGAGUGUUCGGAACUGAUGCUAGAGAUACCGGCAUACCUGCUGAUGUUUGGCGGUUUUAUCUUGCAUAUGUUAGACCAGAAACUCAAGAUUCUAAUUUCAAUUGGAUAGAUCUAGUAACCAAAAAUAAUAAUGAAUUAUUAAAUAAUUUUGGAAACUUUGUUAACAGGGCCCUAGUAUUUGCUGAAAAAUACUUCGAGUCUAAAAUACCAGCAAUGACACUGCAAGAAGAGGAUUUAACACUACUAGUGUUAGCUCAACGGGAAUUGUCUUCUUACAUACACAAUUUGGAACAAGCUAAAUUACGCGAUGGUUUGAAACAUGUUUUAGCGAUUUCAAAACAUGGAAAUCAGUACAUGCAAUUCCAAGAACCAUGGGUCAAAAUUAAAGGAUCGGACACUGAUAAGAAGAGAGCAGGAACGAUCAUCGGUAUUUGCUGCAAUUUAGCGUGUCUUUUGUCGGCUCUUCUAGCUCCGUAUAUGCCUAAUGUUUCACGCCAAAUUAGAACGCAACUAGGAUUGGAUGCUAGCAGUUAUGGUUACAUUCCUGACAUUAUUACAAACAUACUCCCAACGGGGCAUAAAAUCGGUAAACCAUCUCCUCUGUUUAAAAAGAUAGAGGAGAAAGAGGUAGAAACGUUGAGACAAAAAUAUGCUGGGAAACAAGAAACUAAAAAUGGCGCGCAAAAAAAUAACGAUAAUGACGUUAAAAGUUUAGAAGCUGCAAUUGCAGAACAGGGCAAUAAGGUUAGGGAAUUGAAAGCUAAACAGGAUAAAAGCAUUUGGCAACCGGAGGUUCAAAUUCUUUUAAAUUUGAAGAAAAAACUUUCUGAUCUCGUGAGCGGAUCAAGUAAGCCUACUGAGUCAUCACAACCAAAAAAUAAAAAGCCGGAAGUGGUGUUUGUACCUGAACAAAAUGGGGGUGCUUCCGUGGAUGUUGCAAGUUUGGAAUCAGCUAUUACUAAACAGGGUGAACUCGUACGUGAACUGAAAGCUAAAGAACAGAAAUCAGUAUGGCAGCCCGAAGUGGAAAAACUGUUAAAACUUAAAAAACAAUUAGCUGAUCUCACUGGGAUAACGCCAGCUCCGACUGAUAAAAAGUCGAAGAAAAAGAAGUAAAUUACACGCAUUUCUUCAUCAUCGUGAAGAUGUAAAAUUUCAUACAAUACAGGCCCAUUUUUCAUCUCUUAUUUCAGCGAAUACACUUUGAAACACAUGAAAAACAAUAUUCUCGAUAAAACAAAUUAUAGCAGACAGUACAAUUCCAAUAAAUAAAAGAAGUAUUAUUGGUAUCGUUUCGUGGAUGGUGCAUUCAGUCGAGCUGAUACUAUUGCUGCUGAGUAAUAAUUAUACACAAGUAAACCAAAGAUCAUUAUGUGAAGAAAUGCUACACGACCUGCCCAUUUAUUGCUGACAAAUGAAUACCUUGUUGACACAUUGCAGCUACAAUAAUAAGAACCGUUGUUCCACAGUCGGAAUUGUUAACGUUCUUCUCCACUUUUAAUAUCAUCCACAAGGCGAAUAUUAUAAUGAACGAUAAUAAAAAUAUCAUGUACCAAACAUUUGUUGAAAAUGGUCUAAAGAUUAUAUUUAUGUCUAUCUUUGAUGAGGGUACAGUGAGAAACAUAAAACACGUUCUGUAAAAAACACAAUAUACUUGAUGAUUGUAAAUUUAAUUAAUUGUAUUAGCUGUACAGGAAUAAUUAAUGCCGAAGUUACCUUACAGGCCAAACUUGUGUGAUCACGUCCGCAUAAUUAAGCCUUUCGUUUGUUAAAAUCGAAGGAUAGUAUCCCAAAUCAAAAAUACGUUUACUGAGACCAGUAACCAGCGGGCCGUUCCUAUCAUUUUUCUCCCAAUGGUCUAAUUCCAACACUUCCAAACUAUAAAUAAAACAUGUAUCGAAAAAAAUAAGAAAAUCGAAGAAAUUGUAAUUAGCGAAAAAUUACGUGAAAUUGAAUAUUUCAGCAAUGUCCACUAUGAGUGAAUAUCCAAAUUUCGGCCAGUUAUCUGUAAGUGCCACACUGUUCUGCUCCUGAAGAUACUCUGUCAAAAUUUGAUCUUUAGGCCUCUGAGUUACCUAUGUAAAGAUUAUCAUUUAUAUUUGUAAUAUAUGAUUAUUAAGUACA